CCACCUGGGCUACAUAAUGAGUUCAGGGUCAUCCUGGACUACAUAGUGAGACCCUGUCUCAAAAAAAUAAACAAAGUGAACAAUUCUGCACCAUCCAGUAUCUUCACAAUAUUGUGCAACUACCUUGAUCGAUUUCCCAAACAUUUUCAUCACUGUGAAAAGAGACCCCAUACCAUUAAGUGUUAAGUCCUUAUUGCCCUUUACCCCAUCCCAGCUGCCCACCCACCUGCCCCUGAGUGCUGAGUGCCCACAGGUCUGUAUGAAUUCAAAUUUACAUGGUAGUUUUGAGAAUCCCAAUGAUUCUAUUUUUGAACUAAAAAACUCUUGAAAAGUUAGCAGGGAAAACUAACAGGUAUUAAUGGUGUGGUCCUCCCUUAUGUUCACUUCAUACCUUUUCACGUCUUCUCAUACAUGGUCUCAAUCAGUAUGUUGCUGGGUGUGUUGGAAAAUCUCAGCUCUGGGAGAAAUUCCUUUUCCCCUCCACAGUAGUGCAUCUACUACACAGGCAGUACAAUCACUACCUUGAACCCAUGCACCAGGCAUUCAUUUGUUUCUCAAAUAAAGAUGGAGUAAACUUGAAAAGACGGACUUUGUUCACACGGGCACCCUUGUCAUGUCACAAACAUAUAGACCACAGUUUAAAACUUAGUGUGCAGAGAUGUUACUGUCCUGUUCUAACAGAUGAGGAAGAAAAUCUCUCCUUUGUUCACUUAUAUUCUUGUGUCCCUGCUGAGCACAUGGCAUUGCAAAAGGCACCCUUUGAAACACAGAUGAACAGGGAACUUUUGUGCAAGUGUUGUGUAAGGUGUCUCUUUGCUUCACAGUCAAGUGUUUUCAUCGGGAAUCGCAAGAACUGUCAACUAGAAGCUGCCCUCAGGGAAGUUCGGUCUGGUGGGAAUGGAAGGACAGGGGACACACACAUUGUGGCCUGCAGCAGGUGCGGGGUUCCAGAGAAGACUCUGUGGAGGAAAAGGCCUAGUGUUGGAGCUGGAAGGAAAAGGAGAGCGUCUGGAGCGCCUGGACGCUGGAGGCCAGGAAAGCUUCGGGUGGACGCGGUCCCACCCCAGCAGGAGCAGCUGCCUACUCAGACAAGGAGGGGUCCUCGGUCUCUGCUCAGACACCAGCUUCCUGAGUGGCCACCAACUCUCCUCCCAAUGACUUCACUUGUCCACAUGCAGAGCACUGCACAUGAGGAUUUUCUUCAAGACUUUCAGAUGGAAAACUUGUGAAGGCUGGGUAACAGUGUAGUCCCUAGAGCCAUAGAAUCAUAGAUUUUUACAGAAGAAAAAGAGGGUUUCCAGUCUCCUAGCUGGCCAAAUGAAGUAAAUGGAAGUGAACUGUAAUUUGCCUAAAGUCUCGACCCUGGUUCGUGGACUCAUCUACAAUGCCAGGUAAUCCUCCUGGCUCCUCAGAGCAGUGAAUUACAACUUCUUCUCAUUCCACCCAUGCAUGCAGAACCAACCAUCUUUGAGAUAACAUGGCAUUUUAUGCAAAUA